rnacentral:misc_RNA from 1 species
CCGAGUUUACAACUCCCAAACCCCUGUGAACAUACCUAUCGUUGCUUCGGCGGAUCCGCCCCGGCGCCCUCGGGCCCGGAUCAGGCGCCCGCCGGAGACCCCAAACUCUUGUAUUUCUUUAGUAUCUUCUGAGUAAAACAAGCAAAUAAAUUA